UUUUGAUAGGAACGUUCUAUAAGUUUGAUAUACGACGGCAGAUAAGCUGACAUAAACCAAGGAACAAAAAAGAUAAUUUGAUUAUGCAGAACACACAUUUCAUAAAAUUCUUCAGAAAUAUUUCGUAAUUCAUCUUGAGUAUAGGUUUCAAAAAACCAAGUCCUAAAAUUGGUCCAUUUUUCAGUAAAAAAUUCUUUUUGAAUAUAGUUUCUUGC
rnacentral:lncRNA from 1 species